rnacentral:rRNA from 1 species
CCUACGGGGGGCUGCAGUGGGGAAUAUUGCACAAUGGGCGCAAGCCUGAUGCAGCCAUGCCGCGUGUGUGAAGAAGGCCUUCGGGUUGUAAAGCACUUUCAGCGGGGAGGAAGGCGUUAAGGUUAAUAACCUUGGCGAUUGACGUUACCCGCAGAAGAAGCACCGGCUAACUCCGUGCCAGCAGCCGCGGUAAUACGGAGGGUGCAAGCGUUAAUCGGAAUUACUGGGCGUAAAGCGCACGCAGGCGGUCUGUCAAGUCGGAUGUGAAAUCCCCGGGCUCAACCUGGGAACUGCAUUCGAAACUGGCAGGCUAGAGUCUUGUAGAGGGGGGUAGAAUUCCAGGUGUAGCGGUGAAAUGCGUAGAGAUCUAGAGGAAUACCGGUGGCGAAGGCGGCCCCCUGGACAAAGACUGACGCUCAGGUGCGAAAGCGUGGGGAGCAAACAGGAUUAGAUACCCGGGUAGUC